rnacentral:tRNA from 1 species
GCGCUUGUAGUCUAGCGGUAGGAUACGACCUUGCCAAGGUCGCGACCCGGGUUCAAAUCCCGGCAGGCGCA